CCGCUAUGAGAUGGACCCGCGUCGCAUUAGCUAGUUGGUGAGGUAACGGCUCACCAAGGCGACGAUGCGUAGCCGACCUGAGAGGGUGAUCGGCCACAUUGGGACUGAGAUACGGCCCAGACUCCUACGGGAGGCAGCAGUGGGGAAUAUUGGGCAAUGGACGCAAGUCUGACCCAGCAACGCCGCGUGAAGGAAGAAGGCUUUCGGAUUGUAAACUUCUGUUCUUAGUGACGAUAAUGACGGUAGCUAAGGAGAAAGCUCCGGCUAACUAC
rnacentral:rRNA from 1 species